GGUUUGGCCUCGGAUC
rnacentral:rRNA from 2 species